UAUCAACCGUAGUGAUGAUAUGUUUAACUUUAAAUACGCUAGAUCACCUCCAAUAAUAAGUUUUUAAUAUUUAUUAUUUUAUAAUAUGUUUAAAACGUUUUUAAGAAUUCUGCAAUACUCAUGUUUUAAAAUUAUUUUAAUUCAUUUUAACUAGAAUAUUUUCAAUCCAUUUAUAUUUUAGAGAUCUCUAUUUUUUAAAAAUAAAAUAAAAUUUUAUUUUGUUGUGACGUUCAUAUAAUAGAAAAUUCUAUAUUUUUCUAUAAAUAGAUGAAUACUAUAUUUAUAUUUAUUUUUAUUGUUUAUACUAUGAUAGGAAUCUCUAGAAUAUAAAUAGAUUGAAAAUACUGUGACUACUUUAUUGUUUUCUGCUAGUCUUGUGACAAAUUUCUUUUUAUCUUUUAAAAGUUACACAUGAUAACUUCUGCUACUUUCUUUCAAUUAGGUUCGCGUGUAAAAUGUUAUAAACGGUAAUUUUGAAUUUUGGGAUAAACUGAGUAAUAAUUUAACCUCGAUACGCAUCGGAUUAAUCUCACCGGCCACUAUUGUUUUUUUACAAUCUCUUUCUCUGCGGUCAAAGAAAACAGAGAAUCCAUCCACAC
rnacentral:lncRNA from 1 species